rnacentral:rRNA from 1 species
CCGGUAAACGGCGGCCGUAACUAUAACGGUCCUAAGGUAGCGAAAUUCCUUGUCGGGUAAGUUCCGACCUGCACGAAUGGCGUAAUGAUGGCCAGGCUGUCUCCACCCGAGACUCAGUGAAAUUGAACUCGCUGUGAAGAUGCAGUGUACCCGCGGCAAGACGGAAAGACCCCGUGAACCUUUACUAUAGCUUGACACUGAACAUUGAGCCUUGAUGUGUAGGAUAGGUGGGAGGCUUGGAAGUGUGGACGCCAGUCUGCAUGGAGCCGACCUUGAAAUACCACCCUUUAAUGUUUGAUGUUCUAACGUUGACCCGUAAUCCGGGUUGCGGACAGUGUCUGGUGGGUAGUUUGACUGGGGCGGUCUCCUCCUAAAGAGUAACGGAGGAGCACGAAGGUUGGCUAAUCCUGGUCGGACAUCAGGAGGUUAGUGCAAUGGCAUAAGCCAGCUUGACUGCGAGCGUGACGGCGCGAGCAGGUGCGAAAGCAGGUCAUAGUGAUCCGGUGGUUCUGAAUGGAAGGGCCAUCGCUCAACGGAUAAAAGGUACUCCGGGGAUAACAGGCUGAUACCGCCCAAGAGUUCAUAUCGACGGCGGUGUUUGGCACCUCGAUGUCGGCUCAUCACAUCCUGGGGCUGAAGUAGGUCCCAAGGGUAUGGCUGUUCGCCAUUUAAAGUGGUACGCGAGCUGGGUUUAGAACGUCGUGAGACAGUUCGGUCCCUAUCUGCCGUGGGCGCUGGAGAACUGAGGGGGGCUGCUCCUAGUACGAGAGGACCGGAGUGGACGCAUCACUGGUGUUCGGGUUGUCAUGCCAAUGGCACUGCCCGGUAGCUAAAUGCGGAAGAGAUAAGUGCUGAAAGCAUCUAAGCACG